rnacentral:rRNA from 1 species
UGAGGAAUAUUGGGCAAUGCCCGCAAGGGUGACCCAGCAACGCCGCGUGGAGGAUGAAUGUCGUAAGAUUGUAAACUCCUGUUAGAGGGGAAGAAUAGUACCGGUUGGACCGGUAUAUGACUGUACCCUCAGAGAAAGCCCCGGCUAACUACGUGCCAGCAGCCGCGGUAAUACGUAGGGGGCAAGCGUUGUCCGGAUUUACUGGGUGUAAAGGGCGCGCAGGCGGGAUAAAAAGUCAGUGGUGAAAUCCUACAGCUUAACUGUAGAACUGCCUUUGAUACUUUUAAUCUUGAGUUCGGGAGAGAGAGACGGAAUUCCAGGUGGAGUGGUGAAAUACGUAGAUAUCUGGAAGAACACCAGUUGCGAAGGCGGUCUCUUGGUCCGACACUGACGCUGAGGCGCGAAAGCGUGGGGAGCAAACA